rnacentral:rRNA from 1 species
UACAGAGGGUGCAAGCGUUGUUCGGAAUUACUGGGCGUAAAGCGCGUGUAGGUGGCGAUGUAAGUCGGGUGUGAAAUCCCUCGGCUCAACCGAGGAAGUGCACUCGAUACUGUGUCGCUUGAGUGUUGGAGGGGAUGGCGGAAUUCCCGGUGUAGAGGUGAAAUUCGUAGAUAUCGGGAGGAACACCUGUGGCGAAGGCGGCAUCCUGGACCGACACUGACGCUGAGGAGCGAAAGCCAGGGGAGCAAACGGG